CAUAACACAUGCACCAUAUACUGUCAUUUUUAUGAGGACAUUCAGAACAAAAUAUCUCAUGCAUCGAUCCAGGAUAACUAUUUAUUUCUACCAUCAUAUGAGUGACUGACAAUGGCUACAUAUAGCACCACAAAAUGAAUGGACUCUCUUCAUGCUUCAUGGGUUAUUUUAACACAUUUCUCCCAUACACCAACAUCUAGAAAACAACAAUGCAAUCUAGCAAACAAUAAGUUAGAUUGAGAAUAGGAGACAUCAGGCAAUGAAUACCUAGGCUGGCCUAAAUACCCGAUACUCAUUCUGCUCAAGAAGCGUGAACAUUCCCUUGUGCAGCGGGCUCUAAAACCAGGACUACACCAUGCUUAAAAAAGUUCUCGCUCCAUGCGGUCAAUUUCCCUCUAUAGUGAACCCGGAGCACUUGCAUCCAAUUAGACGUUAAUGAAUGGCCAUCAUAAUUUUGGAGGCUGUUACUUUGGGGUGCUCAACGACACGGGCACACGAGAAGAUGGUAAAUAUUGACCCACUGUGUGAUGGUUCCUACUGCUGCCACUUCUUCUUCUUACCACCGAUGAGACGCGAAAGCAAGUCAUUGUCGCAACUGGCAUGUUGUAUGGCCAAUUGAUCCAUACUCCACUGAGUUCCCUGGUCGAGACACGGAGUGGGCGACAUUGCCGUAGCAGUAUAGCCGGGCAACCAAAUCAAAUAAGCUGGCUUAUCCCUGGACCAUGGUUAUCGACCUGUCUUUUAGUUUCAUCUUCAAAUUAAAUUUGUUGUUGUGAGUAUAUAAUUAAUUGUCCAUGGCCUCUAUCACCGUUGGCCCAUGUGAUGCUUUCUCCUACGAGAAUGCUUCGGCACCAGCUAGUACAAUCAUGCGUGCUAGUGACGGAUCAGUUAAAUUUAUAGCCCAUCACUUCAUCUUCCACGGGGACGAUGCCCUCAAAGGAGAUAUCCAUGCUUUAAUGCAAGGUAUAGCCCUUGACAUCCAACAUACUGCUCUCCCGCGUGUUUGUAACAACAUUCCACAUUUUUUCUGUCACAGAAAAAAUAGUUUAUUUACCAUUUUGUUCGAAUUUACUCCAGUAAAAUUGGAUCAACAUAGGCAUGUUUAGAAUACAUUGAACAUUUAAUUCUUUUAAAGAACAGUUAAGUGUACGUCAAACGUGGAAGCUAAGUAUUGCUUUUAAAUCUCAAUGCAGUUUCCAGAUAUUGUUUAAAACUUCGAACUUCAAAGGGCAUGCGGCUCUCUUUUCUUUCAGUUAUUAUAACUUUGCAGUGACGGUGUUGACUUUUGCCUGCCAAUUGUAGCGAUGAACUCCAAUGCUACUUUAAGUGUAUUAAUUGAUGCCAGGUUCAUCGGGCUUGUUCAUGACCACGCGGCCUCCCCUCCAACCAGAUCAAAUAGUCCACGGAAUACAAUGACAGGUACGCCAGGUGACGUUGUUGUCUGCUGAAAUAUAACUUUCUGUUUAUUCGUGAUAUCUUAAAAUUUGCGAGUGAACUGACAUGUUGGAGUGCAAAUACUGGCAGAUAUUUAAGUGAAAACUGUAAGAGAAAAGCUAUGGAACCUACCAUCACCACUCAUGCACUCCCCU
rnacentral:lncRNA from 1 species